UUAGUGGUGACGGGUGAGUAACACGUGGGAAUCUGCCCAUCAGUACGGAAUAACUUUUAGAAAUAAAAGCUAAUACCGUAUAUUCUCUACGGAGGAAAGAUUUAUCGCUGAUGGAUGAGCCCGCGUCAGAUUAGGUAGUCGGUGAGGUAAUGGCUCACCAAGCCUACGAUCUGUAACUGGUCUGAAAGGAUGAUCAGCCACACUGGGACUGAAACACGGCCCAAACUCCUACGGGAGGCAGCAGUGGGGAAUAUUGGACAAUGGGCGAAAGCCUGAUCCAGCAAUACCGAGUGAGUGAUGAAGGCCCUAGGGUUGUAAAGCUCUUUUAGCAAGGAAAAUAAUGACGUUACUUGCAGAAAAAGCCCCGGCUAACUCCGUGCCAGCAGCCGCGGUAAGACGGAGGGGGCUAGCGUUGUUCGGAAUUACUGGGCGUAAAGAGUGCGUAGGCGGUUUAUUAAGUUGGAAGUGAAAGCCCGGGGCUUAACCUCGGAAUUGCUUUCAAAACUACUAAUCUAGAGUGUAGUAGGGGAUGAUGGAAUUCCUAGUGUAGAGGUGAAAUUCUUACAUAUUAAGAGGAACGCCGGUGGCGAAGGCGGUCAUCUGGGCUACAACUGACGCUGAUGCACGAAAGCGUGGGGAGCAAACAGGAUUAUAUACCCUGGUAGUCCCCGCCGUAAACGAUGAGUGCUAGAUAUUGGGAGAUUUUCUCUCGCUUUCUCAGCUAACACAUUAACCACUCCCCCUGGGGAGUACGGUCCCCCGAUUAAAACUCAAAGGAAUUGACUGGGGCUUCGCACAAACGGUGGACCCGCGGUUUAUUUCUAUGUUACUCUAAAAACCUU
rnacentral:rRNA from 1 species